rnacentral:tRNA from 1 species
ACCUGAGUGGCUCAGUGGUUGAGCAUCUGCCUUCAGCUCAGGUUGUGAUCCCAGGGUCCUGGGGUCAAGUCCCCCCUCAGGCU